rnacentral:rRNA from 1 species
ACGGAGGAUUCAAGCGUUAUCCGGAUUUAUUGGGUUUAAAGGGUGCGUAGGCGGUUUGAUAAGUUAGAGGUGAAAUCCCGGGGCUUAACUCCGGAACUGCCUCUAAUACUGUUAGACUAGAGAGUAGUUGCGGUAGGCGGAAUGUAUGGUAUAGCGGUGAAAUGCUUAGAGAUCAUACAGAACGCCGAAUGCGGAGGCAGCUUACCAAACUAAAUCUCACGUUGUGGCGUGAAAGCGUGUGAUGCAUUGAG